CCCCACAGUUCUUGGUAAUAGAAAACCGGUGGAAGAGUGAAACAAUUUUACAUGCACGUAACCAAAAUAUAUCAAUAGUAUUUUUUGUAAAUUUAACUAAAUUUUUUCGAACUGGACAAACAUCAUGAGUAGGGGUGGAUACAGGGGGCUCAAUUUGUUGUCAUAUCAAGGGAAGUAUAGAAUUUCUUGGCAGGUAUGCACGAGUUUAUAUUAUUUCCAACCUCUAAAGAUCAUUUUCUGGCUUAGAAAGAAGCGGACAUGAACAUAUCAGUCCAAUGAGUACCCCGGGAGUAUAAAAGUUGCCUAAUUCAGCAGAAGCAAACAGAUGGAAGAUGCUUAACAUAGUUAAGGGAGUCCUUGUAAUCAACGUAACACGUUUAAUUUUAAUACAUUUAAUCUGAAAUAAAA
rnacentral:lncRNA from 1 species